CUAAUAGCAAUUGUUACAAUUAUUUGGACAUUCUGUUGUUCGAAAAAGAAUCAAUUCUAGAAAUACAAGCAAUCAACCUCCCGUUUAUCUUUCUGGCUCAGCAAUGGGGUCAAUACGAAUGAUAGAUAUAGCGGCUAACUUCACAGAUGGAAUGUUCAAAGGAAUCUAUAACGGCAAGCAAUGCCAUUUAGCUGAUAUAGCCACUGUCCUUAGUCGAGCAUGGAGUGCUGGUGUUGAUAGAAUAAUUGUAACUGGUGGAUCUCUUGAGGAGUCAAAGAAGGCUCUUGAGAUUGCAGAGACUGAUGGAAGGCUCUUUUGCACGGUCGGGGUCCACCCUACAAGGUGCAAGGAGUUUGAAGAAAGUGGAGAUCCUGAGCAGCAUUUUCAGGCUCUUUUGUCAUUGGCACAAGAGGGAGUUCAGAAAGGGAAGGUCGUGGCAGUUGGUGAGUGUGGACUGGAUUAUGACAGGCUUCACUUUUGCCCACCAGAGAUUCAAAAAAAAUAUUUUGAGAAGCAGUUUGAAUUAGCACAUGUCACAAAGCUGCCUAUGUUUCUACACAUGCGUGCAGCAGCUGAAGAUUUCUGUGAAAUUGUGGAGCGCAACAAGGAAAAAUUCAGUGCUGGGGUCACUCAUUCAUUUACUGGCAGUGCAGAAGAUUGCGAUAAACUUCUCUCAUUCAACAAUAUGUAUAUAGGUGUAAAUGGUUGCUCAUUGAAGACAACUGAGAACCUUGAUGUCGUCAAGGGUAUUCCUGUUGAGAGAAUGAUGAUUGAGACAGAUUCUCCCUAUUGUGAAAUCAAGAACACUCAUGCAGGGAUUACUUAUGUAAAUUCUUUGUGGCCAUCAAAGAAGAAAGAGAAGUAUGAUCAGAACUGCAUUGUCAAAGGCAGGAAUGAACCUUGUUUAGUUCGGCAAGUUCUUGAGGUUGUGGCUGGCUGUAAAGGUAUCAAUGACAUGAAUCAAAUGUGCAGGACCAUUUACCAUAAUACCUGUGGGUAAGCAUUUAAUGGAGUUCCCACCACAAUUCAUCUAACCAAACAGAACUCAAAAGGUUUUCUUUCCUCAUGACUUGGAUUCUGCAGCAGACGCUCUUCUUGCUGAUCACCAUGAUUCUCAGUGAAAUUCUGAUGAUUUUGCUACUAUGAGAAUUUUCUUAAGCGAGUGCGAGAUCCUCGGAUUCUUUUUAUGAUUUGUGGAGUAUGAAUGAUGCUUUCUCAAAUGGCAUUGUAAUGAAAAUACAUAUAAUCUUAUAAUCGUGAUAAUGCCCUGACUUCAGGCUCUAAGGUUUUCAUGGAUUUUAUAUUUUUGGGGGCAUCUCACCUGAUAAUUGAGUGCCAUAAUUUUCACUGGUAGAACUUUGUAUACAGAUUGAACUUUGUAUUCAAUGAUAAAUUUGAAAUUUUCCCAUUGA